UACGUAGGGGGCAAGCGUUGUCCGGAAUCAUUGGGCGUAAAGCGCGUGUAGGCGGUUCGGUAAGUCGGCUGUGAAAGUCCAGGGCUCAACCCUGGGAUGCCGGUCGAUACUGCCGGACUAGAGUUCGGAAGAGGCGAGUGGAAUUCCCGGUGUAGCGGUGAAAUGCGCAGAUAUCGGGAGGAACACCAAUGGCGAAGGCAGCUCGCUGGGACGUUACUGACGCUGA
rnacentral:rRNA from 1 species